rnacentral:rRNA from 1 species
GUGGGGAAUUUUGGACAAUGGGCGCAAGCCUGAUCCAGCAAUGCCGCGUGCAGGAAGAAGGCCUUCGGGUUGUAAACUGCUUUUGUACGGAACGAAAAGGCUCUGGUUAAUACCUGGGGCUCAUGACGGUACCGUAAGAAUAAGCACCGGCUAACUACGUGCCAGCAGCCGCGGUAAUACGUAGGGUGCAAGCGUUAAUCGGAAUUACUGGGCGUAAAGCGUGCGCAGGCGGUUUUGUAAGACAGACGUGAAAUCCCCGGGCUCAAUCGGGGAAUGGCGUUUGUGACUGCAAAGCUGGAGUGCGGCAGAGGGGGAUGGAAUUCCGCGUGUAGCAGUGAAAUGCGUAGAUAUGCGGAGGAACACCGAUGGCGAAGGCAAUCCCCUGGGCCUGCACUGACGCUCAUGCACGAAAGCGUGGGGAGCAAACAGGAUUAGAAACCCGUGUAGUCC